AACGCUAGCUACAGGCUUAACACAUGCAAGUCGAGGGGAAACGAUAUUGGAAGCUUGCUUCCGAUAGGCGUCGACCGGCGCACGGGUGAGUAACGCGUAUCCAACCUGUCCAUCACUUGGGAAUAACCUUGCGAAAGUAAGACUAAUGCCCAAUGACAUUUAUAGAAGGCAUCUGAAAUGAAUUAAAGAUUUAUCGGUGAUGGAUGGGGAUGCGUCUGAUUAGCUUGUUGGCGGGGUAACGGCCCACCAAGGCGACGAUCAGUAGGGGUUCUGAGAGGAAGGUCCCCCACAUUGGAACUGAGACACGGUCCAAACUCCUACGGGAGGCAGCAGUGAGGAAUAUUGGUCAAUGGACGCAAGUCUGAACCAGCCAAGUAGCGUGCAGGAUGACGGCCCUAUGGGUUGUAAACUGCUUUUAUGCGGGGAUAAAGUUUGGGAUGUAUCCCAUAUUGCAGGUACCGCAUGAAUAAGGACCGGCUAAUUCCGUGCCAGCAGCCGCGGUAAUACGGAAGGUCCGGGCGUUAUCCGGAUUUAUUGGGUUUAAAGGGAGCGUAGGCCGUCGUUUAAGCGUGUUGUGAAAUGCCGUGGCUCAACCAUGGCACUGCAGCGCGAACUGCCGUACUUGAGUACGCUGGAGGUAGGCGGAAUUCGUGGUGUAGCGGUGAAAUGCUUAGAUAUCACGAAGAACUCCGAUUG
rnacentral:rRNA from 1 species